AUCUCAUGUGUGGUGUUGCUGUGAAUACUACCACUUCCUGUCUGCCCAGCCAACUGGACUCUGCUCUUGUUCAGCCCCACUGCUGUGGUUCCAGUGUCUGCGUGCUGCUGAAGUUUAUCUGCUUGUGAGAUCCAGCUGCUGACUUUGUCUGUCCUGGUGGUUCCUCAGCCAACUUCAUCAACUCUGGUUUGCGCUGCAAAAAUGAGGCUUUGUUUCAUUCUCUUUAUCACCAUCUCAGCUGGAUUUAGUGGGACUGUGGCCCGAAGACGCACGGCCUUCUCCAAUGAAACUGCCUCCUCACGGACUUUGGCCGUCAGAAGCCUGGUCUUCCCCAGUGACACCGCCCCCAAAGUCUUCCCCAGUGACACCGCCCCCACAGUCUUCCCCAAUGACACCGCCCCCACAG